GUAAAAGUCUUAUUUUUUACACUUAGCUCCAAAAAAAAAAAAAAGCUUUCUCCAAAAUUUCAAUUCAAUCUCAAAGUGUUUGAUUCCAUUGUGAAAUCUGAAUACCCAUUGCAUGAACUCUCGAUUCCUAUUGAAGAAAUCUCGAUUAUCAACACCACAAUCUCCAUCAAUUCUCCACUAUCCGUCUCUGUCUUUCUCCUUCUUUCUCUGUGGUUGUUUCUCAGAUCCGCCACCGUCUCUCUCCUCCAUCGCCAUAUCUCUCCGCCGCUGCCGUCUCUCUCCGUCUCUAUCUCUCUUCGACUCCGUUGAAGUAAUUGGGUUUUGGAUUUUUGUUUGUUGAUUUGAAUCGUGUUUCUUUCUUAUGUGAGGUUGGGUGUUUGACUUUCAAUCAGUGUUUUCGAUUGAUUUUUUUGUCUGAGUUUAGACUCUAUUUUUUCUGUAUCUUGAGAUAAUGCUUAGUGUGAAAAAGUUUAUUGCUCUCGUAUAUGCUAAUUUGGUUUCCUAGCUCUUGUCUCUAGUCCUUACCGGUCGCUGCCACUGCUCUCAUGAUUAUUGAUGUCUCAUGUUUCUUUUUCUGAUGUGUAGUUAGAUUUGUGGAUCUGUAGUUGCCGCUCUGUAGCUGUUCAGUACAAGAACUACAAGAAUCUUGAUUCCUAAUCUUCAAACUUCUUGUCCGUUCCUACCUUGUUCUUUUACUUGUACCACAAGAAGGAGAAACUCUCUGGCAACUUGCACAGAACUUUGUGAAGCUUUUCUUGUGCUCAGAUAGAGAUAAAGAAGAUAAAGCAACAAGUGAAGUGGUCUUGGAGCUGAGAUGAUUGGCACAUUCGUCCUUGUAUACACAGUCUUCUCAGCAACUGACGCCAAGAGAAACGCAUGUGACUCUCAUGUCCCCUGGCCAGUAAGAGUUGCUAAAUCUAAUUUGAUUAGGGUCAUCUCACAUUAUACAUGACAGUACUGUCCAUAUUUAAUUGAACAUCUUCUCUUAGUUGACAGAGGACAGUGAUUGAUGAUUCUUUGACAGCUAGUUCCAAAAUCGUUUCAAAAUCAUCACAUGCACAGACACAGGCAAAGACACCACCAGAGACCUCUGUAUCACAAUUAGGUUUAUUAUGUUUAGAAACUUUAAGACAAUUUUUUUGUUUAUUUUCAUGUGUAAGACUAUUUUGUUGGUAAUUAAAAUAAUUUCUAUUUUCA